GUACUAAAAAGGUGGUGCCGGGCAGCAUUUGGUUGCCGAAGGCUGAGAUGAUACACAUUGCACCAGUACGGAUAAUGCCGACGCUGGGAGUUUUUGGUGACAUUCUU
rnacentral:ncRNA from 1 species